UACGGAGGGGGCUAGCGUUGUUCGGAAUUACUGGGCGUAAAGCGUGCGCAGGCGGCUUUGCAAGACAGAUGUGAAAUCCCCGGGCUUAACCUGGGAACUGCAUUUGUGACUGCAGGGCUGGAGUGCGGCAGAGGGGGAUGGAAUUCCGCGUGUAGCAGUGAAAUGCGUAGAUAUGCGGAGGAACACCGAUGGCGAAGGCAAUCCCCUGGGCCUGCACUGACGCUCAUGCACGAAAGCGUGGGGAGCAAACAGG
rnacentral:rRNA from 1 species